GACGAACGCUGGCGGCGUGCUUAACACAUGCAAGUCGAACGGAAAGGCCCUGCUUUUGUGGGGUGCUCGAGUGGCGAACGGGUGAGUAACAUGUGAGUAACCUGCCCUUGACUUUGGGAUAACUUCAGGAAACUGGGGCUAAUACCGGAUAGGAGCUCCUGCUGCAUGGUGUGGGUUGGAAAGUUUCGGCGGUUGGAGAUGGACUCGCGGCUUAUCAGCUUGUUGGUGAGGUAGUGGCUUACCAAGGCUCUGACGGGUAUCCGGCCUGAGAGGGUGACCGGCCACAUUGGGACUGAGAUACGGCCCAAACUCCUACGAGAGGCAGCAGUGGGAAAUAUUACACAAUGAGCCGAAGCCUGAUCCAGCAACGCCGCGUGCGGGAUGACGGCCUUCGGAUUGUAAACCACUUUCGCCUAUGACGAAGCCUGAGUGACGGUAAUGAGUAAAGAAACACCAGCUAACUACGUG
rnacentral:rRNA from 1 species